rnacentral:rRNA from 1 species
AGUGAACGCUGGCGGUAGGCCUAACACAUGCAAGUCGAACGGCAGCACAGGAGAGCUUGCUCUCUGGGUGGCGAGUGGCGGACGGGUGAGGAAUACAUCGGAAUCUACUCUGUCGUGGGGGAGAACGUAGGGAAACUUACGCUAAUACCGCAUAAGACCUACGGGUGAAAGCAGGGGACCUUCGGGCCUUGCGCGAUUGAAUGAGCCGAUGUCGGAUUAGCUAGUUGGCGGGGUAAAGGCCCACCAAGGCGACGCUCCGUAGCUGGUCCGAGAGGAUGAUCAGCCACACUGGAACUGAGACACGGUCCAGACUCCUACGGGAGGCAGCAGUGGGGAAUAUUGGACAAUGGGCGCAAGCCUGAUCCAGCCAUACCGCGUGGGUGAAGAAGGCCUUCGGGUUGUAAAGCCCUUUUGUUGGGAAAGAAAUCCAGCUGGCUAAUACCCGGUUGGGAUGACGGUACCCAAAGAAUAAGCACCGGCUAACUUCGUGCCAGCCGCCGCGGUAA